rnacentral:tRNA from 1 species
GCCUCCAUAGCUCAGUGGAUAGUGCACUGGUCUUGUAAACCAGGGGUCGUGAGUUCGAUCUUCACUGGGGGCU